AGUCAGUUUUACGAAUUGUGUACGGGUGGUGCGUCAGAGCACGUUCGGUUGUAGUGUAUAACAUAGACGCGUAUAUGUAUUAAAAAACUGAUACUGUUAUUUAUAGUAAAGUAAUUUGUUUGAAGUGAAAAAAGGAAAUACAGCUCCAAAAAUAAGACUGCCUGUAAACGGUGGAGGUGUGUGCGUUUUGGGCUUUUGUAUUUGUGAGAUUCUGGCAGUAAAGAACGUCUUAGAGUGAUUGUUAUAAAUGGCCACAAUAGAUGGAAGACCGGCUCAAUAUGGGAUUUCUCUUAAGCAAUUACGAGAGCUCAUGGAACACAGAGGCCGAGAGGGUGUUCAGAAAGUUCAAGAAUUUGGUGGUAUAACAGAAAUUUGUAAAAAACUAUAUACAUCGCCAAAUGAAGGUUUGGGUGGAUCAAAAUCUGAUGUAGAACAUAGAAGAGAAACAUUUGGGUCUAAUACUAUACCACCGAAACCUCCCAAAACCUUUCUUACACUAGUUUGGGAAGCUUUGCAAGAUGUAACACUUAUUAUUUUAGAAGUUGCAGCAUUAGUAUCACUUGGUCUGUCAUUUUAUAAACCUGCCGAUGAGGAUGCCCCUGUUUUGCAAGAGGAGGAAGACCAUCAUGGUUGGAUUGAAGGUCUAGCGAUUUUAAUUUCAGUAAUAGUGGUAGUCCUAGUGACAGCUUUUAAUGAUUAUUCCAAGGAACGUCAAUUUAGGGGCUUACAAAAUCGUAUAGAAGGCGAACACAAAUUCUCUGUAAUACGUGGCGGAGAAGUGUGCCAAAUAUCCGUAGGGGAUAUUGUAGUUGGCGAUAUUGCUCAAAUCAAAUAUGGUGAUCUGUUGCCAGCUGAUGGUAUUCUCAUACAAAGUAAUGACUUGAAGGUCGAUGAGUCUUCAUUGACUGGAGAGUCUGAUCACGUCAAGAAAGGUAUUGAAAAUGAUCCUAUGGUAUUAUCAGGAACGCAUGUUAUGGAGGGCAGCGGUAAAAUGGUUGUUACUGCUGUUGGUGUUAAUUCACAAGCUGGUAUUAUCUUUACUCUAUUGGGUGCAGCCGUCGAUGAACAAGAAGCGGAAAUCAAAAAAAUGAAAAAAGAAGCUAAAAAGGCCAAAAAGAGUAAGAGUUUAACAGGCGACGAUGACAGAGCUCCAACUAAAGUUGUUAGUCAUAAGGCUGACUCUGACGGCAACCACAUACAACAACAGCAGUCUUCCACAGCUGCUGCUCCCGAGUCUGGUCACAAAAAAGAGAAAUCUGUUCUACAAGCAAAACUCACAAAGUUGGCCAUACAAAUUGGUUAUGCUGGAUCCACGAUUGCCGUACUAACUGUCAUCUUAUUAGUAAUACAAUUCUGUAUUAAAACGUUUGUCAUCGAAGAAAAACCUUGGAAAAAUACAUACGCUAAUAAUCUGGUCAAGCAUUUAAUUAUUGGUGUUACCGUUUUGGUUGUAGCUGUUCCUGAGGGUCUACCAUUAGCCGUUACACUUUCAUUAGCUUAUUCAGUAAAGAAAAUGAUGAAAGAUAACAACUUGGUGCGUCAUUUGGAUGCUUGCGAGACUAUGGGUAAUGCCACUGCCAUUUGUUCAGAUAAGACUGGAACAUUAACUACAAAUCGCAUGACUGUGGUGCAAUCGUAUAUUUGCGAAAAGUUAUGCAAAGUUUUACCUACUUUGAACGAUAUACCACAUCAUGUAGGCAACUUAAUUACCCAAGGCAUUUCAGUAAAUUCAGCAUACACUUCAAACAUUUUGCCUGGAGCUGAUCCCGGGGACCUGCCCAUGCAGGUUGGUAAUAAAACAGAGUGUGCUCUAUUAGGCUUUGUACAGGGACUGGGUGUAAAAUAUCAAUCUAUAAGAGAUGAAAUUACUGAAGAUAAGUUUACACGUGUUUAUACAUUUAAUUCCGUGCGUAAGAGCAUGGGAACAGUUAUACCUAGAUCAAAUGGUGGAUACCGCUUAUAUAGCAAGGGUGCUUCGGAAAUUAUGUUGAAAAAGUGCGCGUUUAUUUAUGGUCAUGAUGGAGUUUUGGAGAAAUUUACUCGUGAUAUGCAGGAACGUUUAAUACGCGAAGUUAUAGAACCCAUGGCUUGCGAUGGUUUACGUACCAUAUGCAUUGCAUAUCGUGAUUUUGUGCCUGGCAAGGCCGCGAUAAAUGAAGUCCAUAUAGAAAAUGAGCCCAAUUGGGAUGACGAGGAUAAUAUUAUGGCAAACUUAACUUGUUUGUGCGUUGUAGGAAUUGAAGAUCCCGUAAGACCCGAAGUUCCUGACGCUAUACGUAAGUGCCAGCGUGCUGGCAUUACAGUACGUAUGGUUACCGGUGACAAUAUCAAUACAGCUCGUUCUAUUGCCGGUAAAUGUGGAAUUUUAAAACCUGGUGAUGAUUUCUUAGUCUUAGAAGGCAAAGAAUUUAAUAGGCUUAUACGUGAUAGUAAUGGAGAUAUCCAACAACAUUUAAUUGAUAAAGUUUGGCCAAAAUUGCGUGUAUUAGCGCGCUCAUCUCCUACUGAUAAAUACAACUUAGUUAAAGGUAUCAUUGACAGUUCUGUUAGUGAAAAUCGUGAAGUUGUUGCUGUAACCGGUGAUGGUACAAAUGAUGGUCCCGCUUUGAAAAAAGCUGAUGUUGGUUUUGCUAUGGGUAUUGCUGGUACUGAUGUGGCUAAAGAAGCUUCCGAUAUUAUUUUAACUGAUGAUAACUUUAGUAGUAUCGUUAAAGCUGUUAUGUGGGGACGUAACGUCUACGAUUCCAUUGCCAAAUUUUUACAAUUCCAGCUUACUGUUAAUGUAGUUGCUGUGAUUGUUGCAUUCAUUGGUGCUUGUGCUGUUCAAGAUUCACCACUUAAGGCUGUGCAAAUGUUAUGGGUUAAUUUAAUUAUGGACACACUUGCAUCUUUGGCAUUGGCCACUGAAUUGCCAACCCCUGAUUUGUUACUGCGUAAGCCUUACGGUCGCACAAAACCUUUGAUUUCACGUACAAUGAUGAAAAAUAUUUUGGGACAAGCUUUGUAUCAAUUAGUAGUCAUUUUUGGUCUUCUAUUUGCCGGCGAUAUUAUACUAGAUAUUGAAUCUGGACGUGGACAGGAACUUAACGCUGGACCCACUCAGCAUUUCACAAUUAUUUUUAAUACAUUUGUAAUGAUGACUUUGUUUAAUGAAAUCAACGCCCGUAAAAUUCACGGACAGAGAAAUGUCUUAGAAGGACUGUUUACAAAUCCAAUCUUUUAUACCAUUUGGAUAUUUACUAUGAUCUCUCAGGUUAUUAUUGUUCAAUACGGAAAUGUGGCAUUCUCAACAAAAGCAUUGACACUUGACCAAUGGCUAUGGUGUAUUUUCUUUGGUCUUGGAACACUAGUUUGGGGACAAUUAAUCACUUCCAUACCAACACGAAAAUUGCCUAAAAUUUUAUCAUGGGGACGCGGACAUCCAGAAGAAUAUACUGAUGGCAUGAAUUUAGGCGAAGAACGCUUUGACUCUAUCGACUCUGAUAAAAAACCCCGUGCUGGUCAAAUCUUAUGGAUACGUGGCUUAACACGUUUACAAACUCAACUAAACUACAGGGUGCACACGACAAACCGUACCAUUCUGUAAUCCAUUUAUGGAUGCAGAAUGGGGUGGAAAAAUUUGCGGCCUGAAAUUAUGAACAUCCCUAAUUUAAAAAAAUUUUUUGGGAUCGUGGGUAUUUUUUUUAUUCCCAACAAAAAACCCUAUGGCAACCCUUACUCAGUCAUGAACAAAAGUGCGACUCUGUGUCGCCGUCGGACUCUGAAUGAAUUGAAAGGGGAGGAGAGAGAAUGCCAAAAAUACUCAUUUAUUAAUAUUUUUCAAUGGUGGUGGUCAACAAGGAAAAAGACGGAGGAUGCUGCAGAUUUUGGUGGAAUUAUGAUUAAAAUUCAAAAGGACCUUAAACUUCCAACAGGCCUUAGCUUCCGUUUAGGAGUCAAGACCCGGACAUUAUGAUGACUCAGGUUCUUUGGAAUUCAAGUGCCCUUGAGAAGGACGAACCGAAAGGACUAGAACACCAGUGAGAUGCCAACAUCGGUGAAAUCCAUGGGAAUUGGCAACUAUUUAUAAUGAAAUAAUUAUAAUUCUAAUUAUUUAUUUGAACCUAUACUAAAGUCUUUCGUUUUUAUUUCAGAUUACAACAACAAGAUCGUGAGAGGCAAAUGAGGCGAUGAAGUAGAAAAUCCGAGUGAGUGUAAAGUAAAUAAAAAUAUUUAAUUUAUAUGUAUACUACAUAUAUUAGAAUAUAAGUCAAGGUAAUCAGACAGCUAGUUUAAGUCGGACUUCAUAGAUUCAUUUCCAAUAUUAGCGCAGAAUUCGGUGGUAAUAACAAGACAAAGUUUAGAAAAUUAUGAAACAAGGUCCUAAACUCCUUGUUAUUGCCACUGAACUCAAAAGAAUUGUGUUUAGAAUAGUUACGAACUAUAUCCCAACCAAAACUGACGUAUCUGUACUAUCGAUCAUUUAUUUCCCAGCCAGUGACAAUCUGUUUACGGAAUGAACAACUACUUGUUGGUCUUCCAACUUAUAUUGUCCCAAUUGUUUACUUUGGUAUCGGCUCGCUGUAAGAUCGGACUCAGAAUUGUGUUAUUACCCUAGGUGACUAACAACCCUUACGCUUUUGAUGACACGGUACCAGAAGGCUUUGAUGGGGUUGCACCUACUAAUAGGGUAAUGACCGGUUACACAUGUAACCAGCUAAGAAACGUUGGCUUUAAGUCGAUCCAACAAAUAAUUACUCAUUCCAAAGUAGCUAUGGAUCUCACCGGACUACGAUAUAAAUGAACGAUAUGUACAGAACUCGGUACUGCCUAGGAUAUAUCAACAGCUAUGCCAAACAGAAAUUCCCUGCCAAUAAAGAAAAGACUAAGAUUAAUAUAAAGACUCGACAAUACAGAUUUAAAGAUAGGUACACAAUUAGGUACGAAUUGGACGACUACUAGACGCUGUCAACCGGUAGAUAUUCAGGAAGAAAUGUUAGGACUAGAACCACCAAAGAUAUUGAAGCUAUUGCUUCAAAUCUUUGGCGUGAAAAACUCCUAACGAUUUACCCUGAAUAUCCUCGACCUCUAAAAAAUAUAAGGAAAAUUUAGAAAACAAAUGAAAAUUUUGUUUGGUUUAUUAAACUUUUACGAAUUCGGGCAAAUUUAGCAUUAAAAUUAUUCUUAAAAUCGCUUUGUUGGAAGCUACUUCGGUAGACUUCCUGACCGGGAACAAAUUUAACUUGUCAACACCGCGUAUUAUAAGAUUUUUCGUUACGAGUGUAGGCCUUAUGUAGAUUUUCCCGAAUUUUUCUUCGUAUCAGAUCCAUUCUAGCCGCGUUCGGGAUGAUAUUCAUCUCGGGAUCGUUUAGCACUUUGAGCUUACGAGCCAACUGAUAAACGCUGCCAUGGCCAAUCAUAUUCAUUCCGAUUAAGGCAAAAUAUGGCGUAACUCCGAUGGACGACUGCAAUGAAGACCUUAAGGAAAACUCAAUUUCGGACAAAUGCUUGUCCUAUUCUGUAUGGCCUUCCUGCUGCUAAAAUGGACUGAUUGACGCGCUCGGACGCAUUAGCCUGCGGUGAGUGAGUUGCAGUUCUAACAUGUCUGACACCGAAAUUCCCUAUCAUAUCCGCAAAUUCUUUACUUACGAACUGCUUUCCAUUGUCCGAAACGAUUGUUUCCGGAGUUCAAAAUAUAUGGAAAACCUCCGUGAUUAAAAAUAUCACCAUAUUCUUGGUGCUGGCUUUAGGCAAGGCUUUCAAAAAAACAAACUUAGUUAAAUGAUCUAAAACGAUAAAAAUAUAAACAUUUCCGUUUUUCCACCGUGGGUACGGACCAAGAAAAUCUAUGAAAAUGCGUUGGAAAGGUCGUUCUGACUGUACUUCGGAUCCCAUUGGUGGUCUGAGCGUAGAAUUCGCGGGUUUCGAUUCCUUGCAGAUUUGACACACUCUUACAAAAUUUCUUACUUGAACAUUUUGAUUGGGCCAAUAAAAAUACUCCUUCACUCUAUACAGAGCCAUACCGACGCCUCCAUGCGACGCUUGUGGGGAAUCAUGAUACGCUUUAAUUAUAUUUUGGGUUAACUCUGAAGGUACCCACAACUUCCACUCGAAAUCUUCACUAAGGGCUACACCGUCAUAAUGCCUGGUCCGUUUGUAGACAAAACCGUCGACCACUUUCAAAUCGGGUAAUUGCUCCGAAUUCUUCUAGACCUUAUCAAUUAAGCUUAGAUAAUCUUCCGACUGAAAUGCUUCCGAAUUUAAAUCUACAAGUUUAGAUACGUUUAGUGAGAUUUCGUCCAUAUCAUAACGCGAUAGGGUAUCGGGUACUACAUUUUCCUUCCCCUGCCUAUGUUCAAUUUCGAAAUCGUACGCCUGUAAAUGUAGACUCCACAUCGCCAAUCGACCAGUUAGACCCCGAUGUGACAUUAGCCAUUUAAGACUGCUGUGAUCCGUGAUCACCGUAAAUGGCAUCAAUUCUAUAUAGGCCCUAAACUUCUUAAUCGCCAAGACAACUGCAACUAAAAGCAACGGUAAACUUGAAUUGUUUACCCAUCUUCAGCGUUUCAAAGAUUGGAGCCGUAAUGGUUGCAUAGUCUGGUAUAAAUUUCCUAUACCAGCCUGUUGCUCCCAUGAAGCUCCUCACCUGUCUUGCUGUCUUAGGGUAUGCAAAACGAGUAAUCGUUUCCACUUUGGCCGGGUCCGGUUUUAAUUUGCCGCCACCAACAAUAUACCCAAGAUAUUUUAACUCCUUAAAACAAAAUUUGGAUUUAGCAACAUUGAUGGUUAAACUUGCAUCUGCUAGACAAAUAGAUACCCGCUUCAACAAUUCCAGAUGUGUCUCGAAUGCUGGAUAUACUAUCAAUAGGUCAUCUAAGUACAUGAAAACUCUUUCACGAAGUGCCGCGGGGAUCACUUUAUCCAUUAACCGACAUAACUUUUGAGCUGCAUUACACAACCCAAAAGGCAUGACAGUAAAUCGAUAAAGUGGUCGUCCAGGUACCGGGUACCGUAAAAGCAGUUUUUUCCCUACUAGAUGACUCUAGUGGUAUCUGCCAGAACGCGUCUUUUAAGUCGACACUCGAAAAAUAGAUUGUAUCUCCAAAUCGACUGAGCAAACCUUCAAUGUGCGGCAAUGGAUAUGCAUCCUUGACUGUCAGCGCAUUGAGUUUACGCGCGUCCAGGCAUAACCGAUUCUUCUCGCCCCUUCGUACGAGAGUAACCGGAUGACUCCAUGGACUUUCGCUAAGCUCAAUAACACCUAAGUCCAGCAUUCUAUCCAACUCCGCAUACAUCAACUUUUGCACAGGGUAAUAUCUAUCUUUCACUGGAAUUGCAUAACGGGUGUCUAUUGCAUGCGUUCUAAAUGCGUUUUACCAAGGCCCUUCUUUGUAUAGCAGGGGAACAUCGCAUCGUCUCUUCUUCAUCUUCGCAAAUAUUAAUACCAUUCGUCGUGAGACUUCCAAGAAUAACUCGCGACUCAGAGUAGGGACUAAAAGAAACACAACGUUGACUUCCACACUACCGACUAUAGGGUGUUCUGUUCCAUCCGCCGUUUUUAUAUUGGUAUGAAAAUCGUGGAUUGUUAGACCGGUCUUCUGUAUGAAACUCAUACAAUUACGGCCUAGGCACGUAACCGUUGCACCGCUGUCCAACAAUCCCUCGAUUUCCUGACGAUUUAUAGAAAUCCUAGUAUAAAAACGAGAAUCAUCACCCUCUAUUAACGACGCGGCCGAAAUUUCCCGCCUAAGACUUUUUCUUCGCUUAUACCUUUCGCGUACUUUCUUUAUCCUAUUCGAAACGUUACCGAAAAUUCUCGAUCUUGCCUGAGAGGUUUUAUCUCUCUGAGCCGAGUCUCAGGACUUGCCUCUACCUUUGCUUCAACCCUUUUCAAAAUUUUAACUUGCUCUCUCUCUUCACUCGUUGCCGUAGAUCUUUGACUAACUGGGCCUAAACUUCCGUUGACCUCGCCUCCCAGUUCGAGACGGGUUCCGGGACCGGUUUCCCUGACAUCUAGGACACUGUAACCAAAAUUCUACGCGUGGACGAAGGACAAUCAAAAAAAAAACCAUGACCAACCACUUUGCAUUGCGUCCACUUCCAGAAUAAGCACCACCUCCUUUUCUUCUGGUGUAACCUCAAUUUCAUUGACCCUUGCGAAAUUCGGACGCUUUUGAUAACUUUGCUUCUGGUUAGCCAACAAGUUCUCUGCUCUCUUGACCUCGUGACAAAACUCGGUUAGGCUAUUUAUUCGGAUGGGAAACAUCAACUGGGCCAAAGCUGGUUUAAGGUUACCCCUCAUGAUAUCAAUUAACGAUCUCUCAUCGUACGGAAACUUUUGCAGAUGACGUAGCUUGAGAAUGACAUUGUAAAACUCCUCAAAUGACUCAUGAGGUAACUGGCGGCGAUUGAGUAUUUGCAUUUGUACCUGAAACUCAUUCUCAAAACGCUGAUAUUGGGACAAAAUAGCACUUUCCAGGUCCCACCAAGAGUUAAUUUGCGCCAAUUUGCGAUGGUUCCAAUACCAGGCUAAAGCCGGACCUUCCAGUAAGUUAUGGAAAUGGCGUAAAAUAUCCAUGUCCGAGCAGUUAUAAUCUUUUCUAAGCUCGUUUACUCGAAAGAUAAACUCUUGAGCAUUCAUGGACUUACUGGUACCAUCAAACUUUAUACCCCACUUAAACAAAUUCACUCACUGAUGAUUUUCCAUCCCAUUUGACACUGGCCAAGCAUAAUUAGGAGCUGGUCCAAAGCUAUUUUGAUGUUGUAGUGUUGGUUGAUUGUAGCUAUACCCUUGUUGUUGUUGGUUGUAGGCUUGUUGUUGAUGUUGACCAACCCUCGGGGGAUUGAUCGGAGUCUGAUUCAUUGCCUGUUGUUCAAAAUAUCUCGUCUGGUUUAGAUUAGGCUCUGGAAAAUCUGUCUGAUCCCUCCGCGGUAUAUCACUAGCCAUAUAAUGUGGUGCUGGAAAUAAGGGUGGUGGAGGUGGUGAGCUAUAACUGGCUGUGGUUGGGUAUACGUGACGGCUGUCACUUCUCUUCCGCCUAUAUUACCGUGAGGAUAUGAUACUUGCGAGAUCAUAGGUGCCACUAAACUCCUAGUCACUGGAAGUAAUGGGUUUGUUUGUGUCACUGCGCCGGUUAAGAAUUCCGGACCUCCUCCCUGAGCCUCCUGCAAUGGCACAGUCGGAUAUAAACUUGCUGGGACAUCUUGUUGUUGCUGGUGGUUUAUACCCAAUGCCCGCUUAAUUUCCAUUAAAUCAUCGUUGAUUUUAUUAUCUACCUGCCUCAUAAAUUGCGCCUGGGAAAGACCGAUAGAAGCGUUGACCACUUCCUGUAUGUUGGCACUUUGAUUCCGCUGGUUGGACAGACUCUUUCGGACUUCGCGGCGAACGUUUUGAGCUGUAAGGCUACUGUACUGUAUUCUGGCGACCUAAUCGUGGAAUUCGUGUCAUCUGAACUAAUAGAGACCUCGUGAGGCAAUACUGGUGCUGUUGACGUGGCUGUUGUGGUAGGCCCACCUGCAGUAAGAGCGUCUGUAGUACGAGUUACACCUGCUUCAGUAGUUGCCAUGUUGCUGCUGGUUGGUAAAUUACUUGAAAUUCUACUACUGGAACGAGUUACAACCAUAAUCCACCAAAAACUCAACGAAAAUUCAAAUUAUUAGGAAAAACGUGACAAAUUAUUACCUUCCUUUGAAAUACCGCCGAAGAUAACAAAAAAAAAUAUUUAUAACGAAAAUUCAAAAAAAAAAAAAAAAAAACAUAAAAUAUAAUAUACCAAAUAAUAACCACAGCGAUUAAUAAAAGGAACUAAAGAUUUUCAGUACUAACGGAACUGACACAAAUACCGAACUAUCUUCAAAUAUUAACUAUUUCAAAAUGUAUUAUAAACUUCUAUACAUAAGUGAUUGGGGUUCAAUCAUAGCGUGAGUGAGUAGGUUUAUAAAACAAUUGUCGAUUAUUCUUGAUCUAUGUAAAGUUAAGUAUAAUUUAGUUGUAAACUUUGGUAUUUCCUAACGGCCUUUACAGAUUGAAAUUUACUAUAUGGACAAACUUAAGUACUGCGACUGAAAACUGAAAUAUUAUUUCUUCCCUUUUAAGUAUAAUUUAAAUUUUUAAGUAUAAUUUAGUUGUAAACUUUGGUAUUUCCUAACGGCCUUUACAGAUUGAAAUUUACUAUAUGGACAAACUUAAGUACUGCGACUGAAAACUGAAAUAUUAUUUCUUCCCUUUUUCCAGGACUAGUCCUAAGUCUGUAAGCAAAAACUAUUUAAACAAAAUUUUAAUUUUCUUCUCCCUUGAGCAGUUAAAUCAGCCACUUAACAUAAAACUAAUUAAGACUCUGGGAUUAGAAAUUUUAUAUGUACUUGGAUUUAAGAAUGUAUCGCUAUUAUAUCUAAUCCACCUGAGAAUUUAAUAGAUAUAAGACUUAUACAUCUUAAAUACAAGUAGAAAAUAACAAAUGAAAUUUACUUGGGCUAUUGAAUUUAAUGAAACUUUUUGUUGGCUUUAUAUAUUAGGCGAUUAACCAUACUCCUAAUGUACUUAAUGCUUAAGACUCUAACAAUAAAGCUAACAAAAAUAUAUGUUUUUGCCAAGAAGAUGUCGCAACGCGUUACAGACUCUUAUUUGACGUGAACGGGACUUACACUACUUAGGCAAAAACAUAACACUAACAAGUAUGGACGUACUCACUUCGGGCCCCACGUUGGGCGCCAUUUUAUACUGGCCAGGAUUAUGAAAAUUGAUAACAAAACAAAUGCCGAAACAUCUGUUGCGGGUUGGUGUUGCCAAAUGUCGGCGGCGCUGGUAUUAUGGCGUAUGCCGAGCUGAGGAUCGCCGGAUGGGGUGGUUCUUGCCGACACUGCCACUUUUCCUGGAUACAAAAAUUCUAUAAAAUACCAGCAUUACGUUUAAGUUGACAGAAAAACAGAAAUAUUUAAAUUGAAAGGGACCCGAAGUGAGAAAAACAUUCAUAAAACGAAUACACCAAACAUUCAACUAAAUCAUUCCAUUACUAAUCAAGAAUACUCAUUAUUGACAGAUGGAGUUGCCAAUAUGUUAUUUCCCUCCCAGAGCCCUUAACCUACAACCGUAGCAACCUGUUAAUUUUAGUUGCCCCUAACUAACCCUACCCACUCACAAUAAUUUCACCCCAAUCACUUACCUUAUACACUUAGAAGCUCUCCAUAUUUGUGAUCUGGACUAUCGGGUCAUUACAUAACAUUUGGAAGAACGGUAGCGUAAGUUUUCAGUCUGUCCGUUAUCUGUUCUCGUUCGGUGUUUCG